GUUGCAAAGCGCAGGCCAGCACAAUCCCAGGCACCAUCGUUGCUACACCAGCGCUUGUCUCACUAACCCAGCUAGACCAUCACCACUGCCACUCCAGAGCCUGUCGCAUUAACCCAGCCAGACCAUCACCACUGCCACACCAGCGCCUGUCGCACCAAGCCAGUCAAACCAACACUCUUGAAGCACAGAAGCACCACAACUCAACGAUGAACUUCAAAAUCGUGCUGAUCGUGGUGCUGGUGGUGAUGGGGACAGUGAUGGGAAGAGCGUUUCACCGUCAAAGACAAUUUCCCGGCCAGAGACUGAGAGGGGCCACACACUACGCCUUCUACUCCUUUGGCCGUCACGGUUACGAGAGCAAUUUUUUCGGCAGAUUUCACGAUAAUGAGCACUCCUUACAAAUUUAAAAGAAGCAUCCCUUCCACACAUCUUUCCCAAACAAUGGUCGUUUUGCCUGAGUGUUCCUCCUGCUCCUUACUCGCGGGGAUUGGUCCAGCCAUGUGUACUGUGGCCUAGGCAUUGGGAGGUGUGGCUGAUAAUAUGCACAGCACUCUUAAGUCAACCAUAUAUGUUAUGAAUGGUGCACUUGGCCUCGCAGUCCAGCUACACACAGGAGUGUCUAGGACUCUUACACUGUGUUUGCAUAUAUAUAUAU